rnacentral:rRNA from 1 species
CUAAUAACUAAGGCUUCAAGAUAAAAAGUUUGCAGUUUUCUUUGGAUACUGCAAACAUGAGUAGAGUUGAAGUCUGUGUGGAGUUUUCCUAGUGUGGGUGAAGAAGGUGGAAGAAGUAUAAAGUGGUGCAAGAAAGCGUUUUUGAGGAGAAGGGCUCUUGUGAGAAGUAGAAAGUGCAGAAAAGGAACUCGGCAAAAGAUUUUCCCGAAUGGUUUAUUAAAAACAUUGCUGCACGGAUGAAUGUGCGGUAAGUACUGCCCGGUGCCCUUGUCAGGGUAAACGGCGGCGUAAAGUUUUAAAGUAGCGAAAUACCUAGCCCUUUAAUUGGGGGCGUGCAUGAAUGUAUCAACGUGGGAGAGACUGUCUCUUUUGCGCAGGUUUAAAUUGAACUCCAAGUGAAGUUGCUUGGGUGCCUUCAAAAGACGAGAAGACCCCGGCAGUUUUACCUAAGUGGGAAAAGAUUUUUAUGAUGGAUUGGCUGGGGCAGCAGGAGAAUAGGCAAAACUUCUUCUCCCCAAGUGUAAUGAGAGAAUGACGGUUUAAGAGCUAGCAUGGUUAAUCAAAGGGAAGAGUUACGCCGGGGGUAACAGGACGGUCUUAAAAUGGAGAACAUAUCGGUUUUAGGGUGCGUUACAUCGAUGUUGAAUCAGGGGUGCGCCUGGGUGCAGAGGCUGAGGUUAAAGGGUCUGUUCGACCUUUAAAGCCCUACGUGAUUUGAGUUUAGAACGGUGAAAGCCAGUUCGGUUUCUAUCUUUGGGGGAGCCUAAUAACUAAGGCUUCAAGAUAAAAAGUUUGCAGUUUUCUUUGGAUACUGCAAACAUGAGUAGAGUUGAAGUCUGUGUGGAGUUUUCCUAGUGUGGGUGAAGAAGGUGGA